GAUGAACGCUGGCGGCGUGCCUAAUACAUGCAAGUCGAGCGAAAAGACGAGGAGCUUGCUCCUUUGACGUUAGCGGCGGACGGGUGAGUAACACGUGGGUAACCUACCUAUAAGACUGGGAUAACUUCGGGAAACCGGAGCUAAUACCGGAUAAUAUUUCGAACCGCAUGGUUCGAUAGUGAAAGAUGGCUUUGCUAUAACUUAUAGAUGGACCUGCGCCGUAUUAGCUAGUUGGUAAGGUAACGGCUUACCAAGGCAACGAUACGUAGCCGACCUGAGAGGGUGAUCGGCCACACUGGAACUGAGACACGGUCCAGACUCCUACGGGAGGCAGCAGUAGGGAAUCUUCCGCAAUGGGCGAAAGCCUGACGGAGCAACGCCGCGUGAGUGAUGAAGGUCUUCGGAUCGUAAAACUCUGUUAUUAGGGAAGAACAAACGUGUAAGUAACUGUGCACGUCCUGACGGUACCUAAUCAGAAAGCCACGGCUAACUACGUG
rnacentral:rRNA from 1 species